rnacentral:lncRNA from 1 species
AAAAAAAAAAAAAAGAAAGAAAGAAAUUUAAGUUGAUUUCACAAGACAAAUAACUAUUGUGCUUAUAUGUAAAUGAUGUUUCUGAUAGAUUAGUGAAUUAAUUAAAUAUGAAUUAUUGUAGUUUUUGCAACCACCAUGUUGGCACAUAUUAGACCCUGGACAUAACAUGUGUUUAUCUGAAAGUACAUUUUGCUUAAUAAAAGAAAAAAAAUUGUGGCCUCUGAUUUGAUAAUUGAUGUGGCAUAGGAAGAAAAGCAUAUAGUUAUAAUGCCUGAGUUUAUUGAAUUCUCUUUGAGCUUAGGAAAUCAUCAAUGUUUUAAGUCUCAGUUUGCUCAUCAAUUGGGGGGUUGACAAUCCUUGUUCUGGGGUAAAUCUUACAAUAAAAAAAGGAUCAUAGAAAGGGUCUGAGCAGAAGAAAGUCCUAUACCAGCAUGUUGAUGGUGACUUUGAGAAGCUAUUAGGCUGUAUAAUUUCAUCUCUAACGGAGCCAAAAACGAAAUAGCAAAAGUCAGCUGGGAGUAACUUAAAUAACUUCAUCUGUAGGAAAUAUCCCCAUCCAUUACCAGGAUGUUUCUGAAAACUUGCCAAACAGCAGAGCAGGUGUCAUAGUCCAGGUCACAGGUAAAAGCCAAAUUCUGAAGGAAAUCUCACCUGGAAUCACCCCCUUAUUUUGCUCUUUUGUAGAUUCUUGCACGUAUUAAACUCAGCAUUUGACAUCGUAUCUGUCUUUCCCUAGAUUCAAGCAGCAGAAUCCGUUUGUCUUAUUUCGUUUCAUCUCCAAAUCCUAGAGCACUGCCUGACACAGUCUUCAGUGUUCAGUAAAUAUUUGGUGAAUGAAUGAAUAUUGCAUAAAUUAAGAGAUUUCUAGGAUCAUCGUAAUAGAGGAAAUACUAAUUUUUCAAGUUCAUUAUUCUGCCAAAAAAGACUGUCAUUGUGUUCUUGCUGAUACUGAACAGAUGCUGUAGUAACAAAUCCAGAACUUUUUAUAAAAUUCAAGUAAAGACAACAGCGAGAUAGUCAUUAAUGCUUAAAAUAAAGCCUGAAACUUGAUGUUGAAAACUUGAGAGAAGUUCAGAUACCUUUAUUCAUUAGACCAAUACUUCCUUACAUGUCCUUUGACUUUGUAAAUGCGAAGAACUAUUCUAACACACACUCAAGCAGCUGAAGCAAUUCAAGUUGGGAAUGAAAUUCAGUCUCGCUCUAAAGAAAACAUGGUACAUGUGCCACCAUUUGGUGAGAUUAUGGUGUUGCAAAUAAUCAUUGCUAAUUUUCUCAUCAGAAUAGAAUAGGAAACUUCUUUGAAUCAUAUAAUAAUUUAUUUUAUUUAAAAUCAGAAAUAAUGCUUAAAGGUUUUUGUUUUUGUUUUUCAAACCACGGCUUAAAGCAUGUCUCAAAUAUAAACUCUAAAUCCAUACUUUAAAAAUAUCAUGUAUCAAUUUCUGGUUGAAAGACACUUAGCAGUUUGGGAUCACUUGAAGGAAAGAUUUUUGCAUACAUGACCCACUAGUGAUUGUUCUGUGUGUUAAUUUCUGACCAGUGAAAAAGGGGCCAAGGUGAUUCUAAGCUGUGGGCCACUAUUUCUUGUCUAAGUUUUCAGGACCCAAGAGGCUGCACUUGCUGUUUUGUGUGAAGCUUGAUCCUCAACUCAAGAGACCAAAUUUCCUUGGGUGGUUUUGUUCCUCCAUUGGCUCUGAAGUUUAUUCUCCAAAACUGUACCCAAAGACAGCAUUCCAGGAAUAAGGCUUUGCCUUCUGAGGGGGCACCGCCAUCUGUCCUAGAGCCGAAGGUUCACUUGAAAUCAGCCCUGGGGAAGGUGUAUUCUCACUGGUAAUAACUCUGUGGCUGAAUUCCCCAAUUCUGCCUGGCUCACCCAUAGGGUCUUACUUGCUGUGGGGUCUGCUCGCCUAGAUCCCCAUGGUGUCUCCAUGAAAGUGAGGACACUACCUGCUGCCACUAAGCUCCCUGGAAGUUACAGGGGCCACACAGGAAAAGUGAUAUAGGAAAACUUGAAUUUUGCCUACCUGUUGCCACCUUCUUCCAUCCAAUUUCUCUGCCACACGUGACAUUUGACACAACUGGUUAGUAGAUUUUAAAUAGUCCCCAAACAAGAGUGGAUUUGGAAAGUGACAUGUUCUGAUAAUUGCAGUUUUUACUUUUAAUUCUUUUUUAUUUCCAAGUUUUCUGAUUCGCAUUUUCAAAAGAACUGGAAAGUCCUCUUCUUAGCUCUAAAAAAAGAUUUAGAGGAAUGCUAAUGUUAACAUUUGACAUAUAUUUUAAGGUAAAAUUGAUUUCUCUAAUAUACUUAAAAUAGACUAUGGGUAGUUGCUGAAAAAUUCUGAGGUAUAAUUCAGUUCUCCUAGAUUAUUCAGUUCAGUGUGUUAUAUUGAUGGCAUAAGUAAGUUCCAUCUUCAAGAAAGAAUAUUAGAAUUGUGCUAACAAACAGAUUUCCUGAAAUUGUAUCCUAGCUAUCAAAGACCAUUUGCAUGUACUUUUGAAAAAUGUCAUUGACAAUUAGCAGAGUCCCUGUUGAAUUAAUUUGACCUGUAUGGAAACAAAUAACUCCGUUGUGACCGAAUGAAGUUCUGCAAUUUUUAGAAAAGAUAACCUUCCUUUUAGCUGCAAUUUCAGAGUAAUCUGACAUAUGCCAUUCAGUUAACAGUUAAAUUAAAAUGCCAUAUAAGUCGGGAAGAAUUGUCUUCUCUUAACAAUCCAUAUGUCACACCACCUCUUCAGGCCACAGAGGUAAGUAUUUGGUGAGGACAGACUAUUUUUUACCUUCAGAUAAAUAUAUCAUGUUUUACAACAGAUUUAGGGUGUCUUGGGCUGUCCAUGCAAUUCAUUUAAUGAAUUCCAUUUGAAGGUUGUUUCUACAGAGCAUAUAAAACAGGUCAUAGUAGUUAGAAAAUGUAUGUGAUUUCUGGGAACUAAAACAAUAGCCUGUGAUUUAAAACAAAAAAAAAAAAACAGGAUCAAACAAAACAUUGCAACUAUAUCGUUUUGUUAUUUAUAGUAUUGACUACUAUUGCUGGAUCAUUGUUAAGAAGGAUUCACAUACUGAAAUAAAAGGACAGUUUUUGUUUUCAUUUCUGUUUUCUACCCAGAUAUAGUGAGAACUUUGUAAAACAACUGCCACUGUCUGAUUCCAUGGGCUUGGCGGUGUCAUGUCUCUGAAGAAUUCAUCUUCAGGGAAGAUGGCAAAUAGUUUUUGCUGUUGUUGAGUAUUAUGUUUGAGGAUGAAAAUUCCCUGAUAUGAAUUAGAUAAAAAAAGUUUCUGGUUACAGAUAGUCAGGAAUUGCACGGUACAGCAGCGAAGAAAGUGAAACUGGAAAAAAACAAGUUAACACCAUAGAAAUAGUAGAAUAAAAGGGUUAAGUGACAAAAUUAGGACUAGAUUUUGAACCCCUUCUAAGUCACAGGAAUUUUUACCAAAAAAGUUUCCUUUUGGAUUUUGACCCAAAUAACAUAUAUAAUAGUAAAAUAUAAAUACUAUUUUAGACCAAAUUUAGAAAUAUUCUUAAGAUCUUAGAAAAGUACAUUUCAAAACUAUUUUAAAACUUUUAAAUUAUCAGUUACAAUGAUUACCACAAAAACUUGAUUCUUUCAAUUAAUGAAAGGACCCUGAAUAUGUGUGAAACAUUACGAAAUGGCUUAUACCUAGGUACACAUCUCAACAACACAUGCAUACUGAUUAUUGUAAAUCAUUUUGCACUUUUCUUGCAUCAGUACAUAUUAUUAGCACUGAAAUAGUCUCUUUUCCUUUUUUGGGGGGACUGUCUUUUCUCCUUUAGAAAGUAGGCACCUGGAUUAAUAAAUCACUCAAAAGUGUUCUUUGUGCAUUCCUUGCUGUUUUCCUUACAAAGAAAUUCUAAGAAUUAGCAAAAAUUGAUGUCACCAUUUGUUUUAGAGUGGAUGGCUGUGCGUGGUUAUUUUAAUUGUAGUGUCUACCAUUAAUUAAUGACAUUUGAAAAAUGUAUUAGCUAAGUGUAAUAAUGCUUUGUUUAUCAUCAAAAUCUAGUUGAGAUGGAAGCGGGGAGUUCAUACACCUUUGAAGACUGAGCAUUUAAGUGCUAAAAACACUUUGCACAUGUUAAGGUAUUGUUAAAAUAACUUAUUUUCAUUUUGGUAAUAGUGUGAAAUGGGACUGAAUGCACAAUUGACAUUUUUUAAGACUGAAAAUGGCACUUCAAUAUUCCUUAGUAAUUGGGAGUUUCCUGGUGACCUAAGUGGCUAAGGAUCCAGUGUUGUAA